rnacentral:misc_RNA from 1 species
UCCGGCUUAUCACCGGCAGUUUCUUUAGAGUGCCCAACUAAAUGGUGGCAACUAAAAAUAAGGGUUGCGCUCGUUGCGGGACUUAACCCAACACCUCACGGCACGAGCUGACGACAGCCAUGCAGCACCUGUGUUACGGCUCUCUUUCGAGCACCCCCACCUUUCAGCAGGGUUCCGUACAUGUCAAGGGUAGGUAAGGUUUUUCGCGUUGCAUCGAAUUAAUCCACAUCAUCCACCGCUUGUGCGGGUCCCCGUCAAUUCCUUUGAGUUUUAAUCUUGCGACCGUACUCCCCAGGCGGAUGACUUAACGCGUUAGCUGCGCCACCGAAACGCUAAGCGCCCCGACAGCUAGUCAUCAUCGUUUACGGCGUGGACUAC